rnacentral:rRNA from 1 species
CGCCUCCUACGGGGGGCAGCAGUAGGGAAUUUUCGUCAAUGGGGGGAACCCUGAACGAGCAAUGCCGCGUGAGUGAAGAAGGCCUUCGGGUCGUAAAGCUCUGUUGUAAGAGAAAAACGAUGGAUAGAGGGAAUGAUAUGCAAGUGAUGGUAUCUUACGAGAAAGCCACGGCUAACUACGUGCCAGCAGCCGCGGUAAUACGUAGGUGGCAAGCGUUAUCCGGAUUUAUUGGGCGUAAAGCGAGCGCAGGCGGUCGCUUAGGUCUGA